rnacentral:tRNA from 1 species
GCACUCGUAGUUCAACGGAUAGAACGUGGGCCUCCGAAGCCCAAGAUCAAGGUUCGAUUCCUUGCGGGUGCACCA